rnacentral:lncRNA from 1 species
UAUCUAUUCUUCCCCCCACCCCUUUUUUUAACAGCAAGAGGAAUGUGAUCAGACAACUUGGAGAUGACUAAAGAAUGAAGUCAGAAUUUUUAAGCCAGCUUGGUAAAACUCCAGACCCAGACUGAUCUGCACUGUUCAUGUAAAAAUUGCCCAGUAAUUUGUCAUCAAUACAGGUCUCUAACCCAUUAUGAGGUAGGGGAAAGG